UGUCCGUCUGUCCCCGGCCGUCUGUCCCCAUCCGUGUCCGUCUGUCUGUCCCUGUCUGUCCCCAUCCCUGUCCGUCUGUCCCCAUCCGUGUCCGUCUGUCCCUGUCCUUGUCCGU
rnacentral:lncRNA from 1 species